CUAAGAAUAUUCCGCAAUGGACGGAAGUCUGACGGAGCGACGCCGCGUGGAUGACGAAGGCCGAAAGGUUGUAAAGUUCUUUUGCUGGGGAAGAAUAACCGCAGGAGGGAAUGCCUGUGGGAUGACAAGAACCGGCGAAUAAGCCCCGGCCAACUACGUGCCAGCAGCCGCGGUAACACGUAGGGGGCGAGCGUUGUUCGGAAUUACUGGGCGUAAAGGGCAUGUAGGCGGCUUGGAAAGCCUGGCGUGAAAAGUCUGCAGCUUAACUGCAGGGGUGCGCUGGGAACUGCUGAGCUUGAGUGACGGAGAGGGAGCUGGAAUUCCUGGUGUAGGGGUGAAAUCUGUAGAUAUCAGGAAGAACACCGAUGGCGAAGGCAAGCUCCUGGCCGAUGACUGACGCUGAGGUGCGAAAAGUGUGGGGAUCAAAACAGGAUUAGAUACCCUGGUAGUCCACACAGUCAACGAUGUGCACUAGGUGCUGGGGCGGUAGCUUCGGUGCCGGAGCGAACGUGGUAAGUGCACCGCCUGGGGAGUAUGCUCGCAA
rnacentral:rRNA from 1 species